CCUUUGACGUUAGCGGCGGACGGGUGAGUAACACGUGGGUAACCUACCUAUAAGACUGGGAUAACUUCGGGAAACCGGAGCUAAUACCGGAUAAUAUUUCGAACCGCAUGGUUCGAUAGUGAAAGAUGGUUUUGCUAUCACUUAUAGAUGGACCCGCGCCGUAUUAGCUAGUUGGUAAGGUAACGGCUUACCAAGGCGACGAUACGUAGCCGACCUGAGAGGGUGAUCGGCCACACUGGAACUGAGACACGGUCCAGACUCCUACGGGAGGCAGCAGUG
rnacentral:rRNA from 1 species